rnacentral:misc_RNA from 1 species
GAAAUGCGAUAAGUAAUGUGAAUUGCAGAAUUCAGUGAAUCAUCGAAUCUUUGAACGCACAUUGCGCCUAUUAGUAUUCUAGUAGGCAUGCCUGUCCGAGCGUUAUUUCAACCAUCAAGCCCCCGGGCUUGUGUUGGGGACCUGCGGCUGCCCGCAGGCCCUGAAAACCAGUGGCGGGCUCGCUGUCACACCGAGCGUAGUAGCAAUCACCUCGCUCAGGGCGUGCUGCGGGUUCCGGCCGUUAAACAGCCUUACAAAACCCAAGGUUGACCUCGGAUCAGGUAGGAAGACCCGCUGAACUUAAGC